rnacentral:rRNA from 1 species
UACGUAGGGUGCGAGCGUUGUCCGGAAUUAUUGGGCGUAAAGGGCUCGUAGGCGGUCUGUUGCGUCAGGAGUGAAAACUCGGGGCUUAACCCCGAGCCUGCUUCUGAUACGGGCAGACUAGAGGUAUGCAGGGGAGAACGGAAUUCCUGGUGUAGCGGUGAAAUGCGUAGAUAUUGGGAGGAACACCAGUGGCGAAGGCGGCUCACUGGACCGGUACUGACGCUGAUGCGCGAAAGCGUGGGGAGCAAACGGG